AUUGAACGCUGGCGGCAUGCCUUACACAUGCAAGUCGAACGGCAGCAUGGGUGCUUGCACCUGAUGGCGAGUGGCGAACGGGUGAGUAAUGCAUCGGAACGUACCCGGAAGUGGGGGAUAACGUAGCGAAAGUUACGCUAAUACCGCAUAUUCUGUGAGCAGGAAAGCGGGGGAUCGCAAGACCUCGCGCUUCCGGAGCGGCCGAUGUCGGAUUAGCUAGUUGGCGGGGUAAAGGCCCACCAAGGCAACGAUCCGUAGCGGGUCUGAGAGGAUGAUCCGCCACACUGGGACUGAGACACGGCCCAGACUCCUACGGGAGGCAGCAGUGGGGAAUUUUGGACAAUGGACGAAAGUCUGAUCCAGCAAUGCCGCGUGCAGGACGAAGGCCUUCGGGUUGUAAACUGACUUUGUACUAGAACGAAAAGUACUUUAAUAACACUAGAGGCUCAUGACGGUACGUGUAAGAAUAAGACACCGGCUAACUACGUAGCCAGCAGCC
rnacentral:rRNA from 1 species